AGCAGGGUUAACUCCAGCAGUUAAACAAUGGACAUGGCAUCUUGGCACUUUGGUAUAUCAGCUGCUGGGUCCAGGAAUACAAAUAUAACAUCAUUUAAAAAAAUAAUGUCCAUCAGUUGCAGUCAGAUAAAUAGUGUUUUGGAAGAUUUAUAGCCAGCUUUGUUUUGUAUCCAUCUGUACAAAUGGUAAUACAUUUCUAUAUAUACACUGGCAUACACACAUACACUGGCAUACACACACACUGGCAUACAUACACUGACAUACACACAUACACUGGCAUACAUACACUGGCAUACACACACACACUGGCAUACAUACACUGGCAUACACAC